UGCUACACUGUAUUCCAUCAGAGUUAGACAGGUUGCCACUCCUGGUUCUGCAUUGGACAAAAUAACUGCCAGCCUUUCUGAUCUUAAAGCAAGACUUGACUCAAGAAAACGUAUUGCACCUGAUGUCUUUGAUGAAAACAUGAAGAUUAGACAGGAAAUGCAUCAUUUAGCCAACUAUAUUCCACAGUGUUCAGUAGAAGAUCUCUUUGAGGGAACACGGUACCUUGUACGUGUGGAUGAAAAACACAGAAGAACUUAUGCACGAUGCCCACUCAUGGGUGAUGGACUCCUGGAGGUAGGAGUUAAAGUUGUCCACCCAGGCAUUGUUUGUGAGCACAUCCCAAGCCCUGCUAAGAAAGUGCCAAGAAUCCCUGCAGCAACAGAAUCUGAAGGCAUUACUAUUGCCACUUCCA